UCCGGGGGGAGCAAGCGUUGUUCGGAUUUACUGGGCGUAAAGGGCGCGUAGGCGGCCGCCGCAAGUCAAUUGUGAAAUCUCCGGGCUUAACUCGGAAAGGUCAACUGAUACUGCGGGGCUAGAGUGCGGAAGGGGCAACUGGAAUUCUCGGUGUAGCGGUGAAAUGCGUAGAUAUCGAGAGGAACACCGAUGGCGAAGGCAGGUCUCUGGGCCACUACUGACGCUGAGAAGCGAAAGCAUGGGGAGCGAACAGG
rnacentral:rRNA from 1 species